rnacentral:rRNA from 1 species
GUAUCCUGUGAGUUGCGAACGGGUGAGUAACGCGUAGGUAACCUGCCUGGUAGCGGGGGAUAACUAUUGGAAACGAUAGCUAAUACCGCAUAAGAACAUUUACUGCAUGGUAGAUGUUUAAAAGGUGCAAGAGCAUCACUACCAGAUGGACCUGCGUUGUAUUAGCUAGUUGGUGAGGUAACGGCUCACCAAGGCAACGAUACAUAGCCGACCUGAGAGGGUGAUCGGCCACACUGGGACUGAGACACGGCCCAGACUCCUACGGGAGGCAGCAGUAGGGAAUCUUCGGCAAUGGGGGGAACCCUGACCGAGCAACGCCGCGUGAGUGAAGAAGGUUUUCGGAUCGUAAAGCUCUGUUGUUAAGGAAGAACGUGUGUGAGAGUGGAAAGUUCACACAGUGACGGUACUUAACCAGAAAGGGACGGCUAACUACGUGCCAGCAGCCGCGGUAAUACGUAGGUCCCGAGCGUUGUCCGGAUUUAUUGGGCGUAAAGCGAGCGCAGGCGGUUAGAUAAGUCUGAAGUGAAAGGCAGUGGCUCAACCAUUGUAGGCUUUGGAAACUGUUUAACUUGAGUGCAGAAGGGGAGAGUGGAAUUCCAUGUGUAGCGGUGAAAUGCGUAGAUAUAUGGAGGAACACCGGUGGCGAAAGCGGCUCUCUGGUCUGUAACUGACGCUGAGGCUCGAAAGCGUG